CUACGGGCGGCUCCAGGCGAGAAACCUUAGCAAUGUGCGAAAGCACGACUAGGUUAAUCCGAGUGAUUUCUGCUGAAGAAAUCUUUUGUCAGUUUUAAAACUACCGAUGAAUAAGGGGUGGGCAAGUCUGGUGUCAGCCGCCGCGGUAAUACCAGCACCUCGAGUGGUCAGGAGGUUUAUUGGGCCUAAGGCAUCCGUAGCCGGCUUUGCAAGUCUCCGGUUAAAUCCAGCUGCCUAACAGAUGGGCUGCCGGAGAUACUACAAAGCUGGGGAGCGGGAGAGGUAGACGGUACUUGGUGGGUAGGGGUAAAAUCCUCUGAUCCAUUGAAGACCACCAGUGGCGAAGGCGGUCUACCAGAACGCGUUCGACGGUGAGGGAUGAAAGCUGGGGGAGCAAACCGGAUUAGAUACCCUAGUAGUC
rnacentral:rRNA from 1 species